rnacentral:rRNA from 1 species
AUACGGAGGAUCCGAGCGUUAUCCGGAUUUAUUGGGUUUAAAGGGUGCGCAGGCGGCCAUUUAAGUCAGCGGUUAAAUCGUGGGGCUCAACCCCAUUCUGCCGUUGAUACUGGUUUCCUUGAGUACGGUACAGGUGGGCGGAAUUCGUGGUGUAGCGGUGAAAUGCUUAGAUAUCACGAAGAACUCCGAUCGCGAAGGCAGCUCACCGGGCCGGAACUGACACUGAUGCUCGAAAGUGCGGGUAUCAAACAGGAUUAGAUACCCUGGUAGUCCGCACAGUAAACGAUGAAUACUUGUUUUCGGCGAUAUAAUGUCGGAGGCAAAGCGAAAGCGAUAAGUAUUCCACCUGGGGAGUACGCCGGCAACGGUGAAACUCAAAUGAAUGGGCGGGG